rnacentral:tmRNA from 1 species
GGGAUAGUUUUGGGUUCGACAGACUAAAGCAAAGAAAGAUAGCAUGUUAUGGUUGCGCAUAUAAAAACGCCGAGGUUUUUAAUUAACCGCAAACAAUCAACCUAAAUUAAGUUUUGCUUUCUAAAAUAGAUUAGUAAGCAAACUCACUCCUUCUACUCUUUGUCUGUGGGAUUAGAAUGGGGGAUGAAAGCAGACUUGGAUGUAAGAGAAAUGCUUCGGCUCCUAUGUCGACAAUAGAAGCUAGUUUAGUAAAGGUUUUGCUUAUUCCCCUUUAUUAAAUUAAAUCAAUGAAUAAGAUAAACAUGUAGAAGUCAAUCGGCGGUUUAGUUUGGACAGGGGUUCGAUUCCCCUCUAUUCCACCA